GACGAACGCUGGCGGCGCGCUUAACACAUGCAAGUCGAACGGAAAGGCCUGCUUUCCCUUGUGGAUUGCGGGUACUCGAGUGGCGAACGGGUGAGUAACACGUGAGUGAUCUGCCCCCAACUUGGGUAUAAGCCUGGGAAACUGGGUCUAAUUCCCGAUAGGACUGCAGGGUGGUGCCUGUGGUGGAAAACGAUUUUCUAGUGGUUGGGGAUGAGCUCGCGGCCUAUCAGCUGGUUGGUGGGGUAAUGGCCUACCAAGGCGGCGACGGGUAGCCGGCCUGAGAGGGUGGACGGCCACAUUGGGACUGAGAUACGGCCCAGACUCCUACGGGAGGCAGCAGUGGGGAAUAUUGCACAAUGGGCGGAAGCCUGAUGCAGCGACGCCGCGUGGGGGAUGACGGCCUUCGGGUUGUAAACUCCUUUCGACCGCGAGGAAGCCACCUGGUUGGAAGGGUGGUGACGGUAGUGGUAGAAGAAGCACCGGCUAACUACGUG
rnacentral:rRNA from 1 species